GCCUGGGUGGCUCAGUGGGUUAAGCAGCCGAUUUCGGCUCAGGUCAUGAUCUCGUGGUCCGUGGGUUCGAGCCCCGCCUCGGGCU
rnacentral:tRNA from 1 species